rnacentral:misc_RNA from 1 species
GAAAUGCGAUAAGUAGUGUGAAUUGCAGAAUUCAGUGAAUCAUCGAAUCUUUGAACGCACAUUGCGCCUUCUGGUAUUCCGGGAGGCAUGCCUGUUCGAACGUCAUCAAGCCACUCGCCUGCAACCGUUGCUAGCAACGGUUGCACUUGGCGUCUGCUGGCGGAUGCGCGCCCGCUUCGGAGCACGCACCGCUGAAAUGCACUGGCGGGCCCCUCACGGCUGUAAUUGUGAUAAGAACCUUCUUACGAUUGCAAGACUGAUGGGCGCCUAGCCGCAGACACCCUCGCACCCUCCACGGGGCUGACGGGGACACACAUCUCUUGACUUCGAAUCAGGUAGGUUCACCCGGCACACAAGGUUUACCA